rnacentral:tRNA from 1 species
GGAGAGGUAGCUUAGUGGUUAAGAGUAUUGGCUGCUCUUCCAGAGAAUCUGGGUUCAAUUCCCAACCUUGCAG